rnacentral:ncRNA from 1 species
CAAAUGGCAAAGACAGGAAAGAGUACGAUCUCAAUGUUUACAGAGACUUCUUGGUCGGUGGAAAAGAAGAACAGAAAGAUCCGAACCACAUCCUUGAGCUAUAUCCCCGAACCCUUUGACAGUAGGGGAUAUCGAUCGGCACUCGUUAUCCUGCUUUUGAGUUGAAUAACUCGCCAAGGCAUUGCUUGUGAGAGCAAUGUGAAUUAAGGUGGAACCACGUAAGUUAAGCUUUCGUCCUUUGG